rnacentral:misc_RNA from 1 species
UUAGCCCUCGUGGCUGUGGGGUUGUAGCUUGCUAUAGCCCCUGUUACACCCCAUCUUUGCGUACCUGUGUUUCCUCGGCGGCUCACCCCGCCGCUUGGACAAUCUAUAACCCUUUGUAUUUGUAUUCAGCGUCUGAAAUCAUAAUAAUUACAACUUUUAACAACGGAUCUCUUGGUUCU